GAUGAACGCUGGCGGCGUGCCUAAUACAUGCAAGUCGAGCGAACGGACGAGAAGCUUGCUUCUCUGAUGUUAGCGGCGGACGGGUGAGUAACACGUGGAUAACCUACCUAUAAGACUGGGAUAACUUCGGGAAACCGGAGCUAAUACCGGAUAAUAUUUUGAACCGCAUGGUUCAAAAGUGAAAGACGGUCUUGCUGUCACUUAUAGAUGGAUCCGCGCUGCAUUAGCUAGUUGGUAAGGUAACGGCUUACCAAGGCAACGAUGCAUAGCCGACCUGAGAGGGGGAUCGGCCACACUGGAACUGAGACACGGUCCAGACUCCUACGGGAGGCAGCAGUAGGGAAUCUUCCGCAAUGGGCGAAAGCCUGACGGAGCAACGCCGCGUGAGUGAUGAAGGUCUUCGGAUCGGAAAACUCUGUUAUUAGGGAAGAACAUAUGUGUAAGUAACUGCGCACAUCUUGACGGUACCUAAUCAGAAAGCCACGGCUAACUACGUG
rnacentral:rRNA from 1 species